rnacentral:rRNA from 1 species
AUACGUAGGGGGCGAGCGUUGUCCGGAAUGAUUGGGCGUAAAGGGCGCGUAGGCGGCCCGGUAAGUCUGGAGUGAAAGUCCUGCUUUUAAGGUGGGAAUUGCUUUGGAUACUGUCGGGCUUGAGUGCAGGAGAGGUAAGUGGAAUUCCCAGUGUAGCGGUGAAAUGCGUAGAGAUUGGGAGGAACACCAGUGGCGAAGGCGACUUACUGGACUGUAACUGACGCUGAGGCGCGAAAGUGUGGGGAGCAAACAGGAUUAGAUACCCUGGUAGUCCACACUGUAAACGAUGAAUGCUAGGUGUAGGGGGUAUCGACCCCUUCUGUGCCGCAGUUAACACAAUAAGCACUCCGCCUGGGGAGUACGGCCGCAAGGCUGAAACUCAAAGGAAUUGACGGGG